GCCCAGCGGGGCCAGGGCCUCCUCUGGCACCGAGACCCGGACCGGGCUGAAGCGAGGCCGGCGGUUCCGGCAGCUGCGGAGCUGCCCGCAGGGUGCUGUGGCAAGCCUUGUGGCGCGGGGCCGGGCCGCCCGGCGCCCUGAGGGAGCGCUCGAGGCCCGGGCGGGAGGGUAGCGGCCGGGGGUCGGUGAGGAGCGCCGGGCCGCUUGUCCCGCUGCGGCGCGGCCGUGCGUCCCGCCUCCGCGCUGCCGGAGGGGAUGCCGGGGCUGAGCCGGUGACGCGGGCGGGACGGGCCCCUGCGGCUCCCCCCGCCAGCCUGAGGGGUUUGCGAGGAGCGGCGUCCUCGCUCGUCAGCCCUCGGAACUCGUUACGUGGCGACAACUUUCAUUCGCGUUUGGUGGACAAGUAAUGAUCCGAAGUUCUUCACUUCCCGUUAGCCGAGGGAAGGUGCACCCCCAGAUUGGGGCGAUAAAGAGAUCAAUGUGCUUUGCUUCGGAGGAGUUCAGGCCCUUCGCCCAUCAGGAAUGCCGCCUGGGGGUGUGGAUCUGCAGGAGGGCGGCUCUGCCUUCAGGGAACCUGGGUGGCUUGGGUCUGUUUUGUGUGAAAGUCGGGGAGGAUGUGUUGGUGUCUACCUCCUGUGACAAAACUUCAUCUUUGGAGCGGAUGGAGGAAGAGGGUGAUGAUGAGGAGGAGGAGGAUGACUUGGACACCUUUGGGGGUUACGACAGCUUCCGGGGCUACAACAGCAGCAUGGGCAGUGACAGCAGCUCCUGUCUGGAUGAAUCCAGUGAUGGUGAGGUGGCAGAGCAGGAAGCUGGGGAGCUUCCCCCCUCUCCUGUGCAUCAGCCAUCUUCCAGCUGGCUCUCAGAGGACAGCGGCUUCGAGCCAGCUGUGUGUGAGAUGUGUGGGAUUGUGGGCACCAGGGAGGCCUUCUUCUCCAAAACCAAACGUUUCUGCAGUGUCUCCUGCUCCAGAAGCUACUCAUCAAACUCCAAGAAGGCCAGCAUCCUGGCCAGACUGCGGGGGAAGCCACCGACGAAAAAAGCUAAAGUUUUGCACAAGGCAGCCUGGUCGGCCAAGAUCAGGGCCUUCCUCCAUUCCCAGGGCACGGGGCACCUGGUAGAUGGGACACUGUCAGGCCAGGAUGCACUUGUCCUGGGUUUUGACUGGGGAAAGUACCUGCAGGAGCAUGGCUUCAAGGCAGCUCCCGUCAGCUGCUUCAGACAUGUGCCACUCUUCGAGCAGUGGGAUGAUGUCGUGAAGGGCAUGAAGGUGGAAGUGCUGAACAAUGAUGCUGUGCUCCCCAGCCGUGUGUACUGGAUUGCAUCUGUCAUCCAAACUGUAGGGUACAGGGCCCUUCUGCGAUAUGAGGGCUUUGAGAAUGAUUCUGGCCAUGACUUCUGGUGCAAUUUGGGCACAGUGGAUAUUCACCCCAUUGGCUGGUGUGCCAUCAACAGCAAGAUCCUGGUGCCACCACAAACUAUCCAUGCCAAGUGCACCGACUGGAGAAGUUACCUCAUGAAAAAGUUGGUGGGAGCCAGGACCAUCCCAGUAGAUUUCCACAUCAAGAUGGCAGAGAGCAUGAAGUACCCGUUCCGGCAGGGCAUGCGGGUGGAGGUGGUGGACAAGAACCACAUGUCCUGGACGCGCAUGGCUGUGGUGGACACGGUGAUAGGGGGCAGGCUGAGGCUCCUCUAUGAGGAUGGUGACAGCGAUGAUGAUUUCUGGUGCCACAUGUGGAGUCCUCUCAUCCAUCCCGUGGGCUGGUCACGGAGAGUGGGCCACGGCAUGAAGAAGACAGAAGAAAAACGUAAUGACAUGGCAAACCAUCCCACCUUCCGGAAGAUUUACUGUGAUGCUGUCCCCUAUCUGUUUAAGAAGGUACGAGCGGUCUAUGCGGAAGGUGGAUGGUUUGAGGAAGGCAUGAAACUGGAGGCCAUUGACCCCCUGAAUCUGGGCAACAUUUGUGUGGCCACCGUUUGCAAGGUCCUGUUGGAUGGAUAUCUCAUGAUCAGCAUUGAUGGGGCCACAUCUGCUGAUGAAUCUGACUGGUUCUGCUAUCAUGCUUCCUCACACGCCAUCUUCCCCAUCAACUUCUGUCAGAAGAACAACAUCAAUCUGACCCCUCCAAAAGGGCAUGAUGCAAAGACCUUCAACUGGGAAAGUUACCUGGAGAAGACUAAAUCAAGACCUGCUCCUGCACGGCUCUUCAACACGGACUGCCCAAACCACGGCUUCAAGGCAGGCAUGAAGGUGGAAGCAGUAGACCUGGUGGAGCCCCGGCUCAUCUGCGUGGCCACGGUGAAGCGCGUCGUCCACCGGCUCCUCAGCAUCCACUUUGAUGGCUGGGACAACGAGUAUGACCAGUGGGUGGACUGCGAGUCUCCAGACAUCUACCCCGUGGGGUGGUGCGAGCUGACAGGCUACCAGCUGCAACCCCCUGUUGUUCCAGAGGAUUGCUCCUGAUGAAGCUGGGUAGAGUUCCAGGUGGUCUUGUCCCCACACAGCUCCUGUUUACUCUCAGAAAAUGAACCCACACCCUCAGCCAGGUAGCAGGGGGAGCUCGGCCCCCGCUCCCCUCUCUCCUCACUUCUAUCACUCUGCCUGUAAAAGGUAAAAGUCUCCCUGUCGAGAGUUCUGUCUUUCCCUCAUCACAGGGAGGCCACUGCCUCGCCUUGGCAGAUGGUUUCCUUGUCCCAGGCUAUGAAUCUUGUUUCUUUGCUGCCCAAUCUGCCCCGGGCCCUUGCCGGGAAGCAGAGAGGGCAGCGGCGCUCGGGGGGAACGGGUGGAUCUUGUUUCUCGCUUAUGUCACUUCAUCCCAGUUACCUACUGGUUAUGGGACUUGGCUUUCGUUUCCCUCUCGUCUCCACGACAGAGCCCACAACUCCAGUGAAGGCCAAGGAGGUGCCCAAGAGGAAGAAGAAACCCUAUGGAAAGAAGAGUGAGUGAUGUUUGAUCAGUGCCCUCCCGCUCGCUCGCAGGCUGGGCCCAGUUAGAGGAACCUUGUCCAUGUCCCUUCAGAGCAGGAGAGAGAGGCUUUAUAUUGCUGUGGAUCUGACAGCACAGCUUCCCCCUCCCUAACUGCCCUGUUAUGAAAGGAGCAGGGAGCUGUGUGUCUGGGAAGGAUCUGUUUUGCAGUCUGUUUUCUGUUGGCUGAGGUAUAGAUAGUGCUUGCUUCCAGGCAUGAGAUUGUGCUGCUUUUCCCUGCCUGUGUCUGUGGUCAGAGGGAGAUGGUUGGCUGCAGCUGGAGGGUAGCUGGAGAGCCACCCUGCCUGCUUUGUGCUGAGGGAAAGAAGGCCUUAAGGUGGCUGAAGAGGCCGGUAGUGGGGCUGGACUGUGUUAUUGUUUCAUCUUGUCAUCGUUGUCGUCCAUCGUUGCAGUAGCCGUGGCAAACCAUGUGUAGAAAUUCCUUCCUGGGGGGUGGAGAGGAGAGGACGUCUGAAGAGUAUAAAGAUGUUUAACUUCUUUGGGUUAAACAUCAGCUAAAAAUGCAAGUGUUAAUGCUACAGUGUCCUCUGUGCCGUGGAGCCACCAUGCCCAUUGCCCAGGACUAAACCAGACAGGAAAAAAGCUUCCUGCCAAGGCCUCCAACGUCAAGCAGGCUGUGAAGAAGCCUCCUGCCCCGAGGACGAAGCGAGAAGCAAAAGCUGC